GUGGGGAAUAUUGGGCAAUGGGCGGAAGCCUGACCCAGCGACGCCGCGUGGGGGAAGAAGUCUUUCGGGAUGUAAACCCUUGUUGUACGGGACGAAGGAAGUGACGGUACCGUACGAGGAAGCCCCGGCAAACUACGUGCCAGCAGCCGCGGUAAUACGUAGGGGGCGAGCGUUGUCCGGAAUCACUGGGCGUAAAGCGCACGUAGGCGGGCUGUCAAGUCGGCCGUGAAAGGCACGGGCUCAACCUGUGCAUGUCGGUCGAUACUGGCGGUCUGGAGUAUGGGAGAGGGAACUGGAAUUCCCGGUGUAGCGGUGAAAUGCGUAGAUAUCGGGAGGAACAGCAGUGGCGAAGGCGGGUUCCUGGCCCAUGACUGACGCUGAGGUGCGAAAGCCGGGGGAGCGAACGGGAUUAGAAACCCGUGUAGUCC
rnacentral:rRNA from 1 species